rnacentral:rRNA from 1 species
CGGGUGAGUAAUGCAUAGGAAUUUGCCUUGAAGUGGGGGAUAGCCCGGAGAAAUCCGGAUUAAUACCGCAUAUGCUCUACGGAGCAAAGUGGGCCUCUGAUUUAAGCUCAUGCUUUGAGAUAAGCCUAUGUCGGAUUAGCUUGUUGGUGGGGUAAAAGCCUACCAAGGCGACGAUCCGUAGCUGGUUUGAGAGGAUGAUCAGCCACACUGGGACUGAGACACGGCCCAG